GAAGGGGCGGCGGGGGGACCCCGCGCACGGCACGUGGCCCGCGGUGGGGUCGCCCCGCUAGCGCUCGGCCGGGUUCGGGCCCGCUGGGCGGCCUCGGGUGGGACGUCGGCCUUCCCAGGAUCCCCCCCCUCCCCCCUCCGCUCGUCGCUAGAGAGGGGGAAGGUGGCGCCCUCCCGCGAUGGGAUCCGGAACUUAAAAUCCGGAAACCACCAGGCCACGCCUGGCCUAACCUCGCAGGGUGGCCCUGAGCGCGGUGCUGGGCCUCACAGGCCUCCAUAUUCCCGACUCGGUUUAGCUCGGGCCCCCUCCAGGCCUGUGAACGUGCUGUUCUCUCUCUCCGGGACACUAUCCCCAGCUGCCCCAGGGCCAGCCCUGGCUUACUGUUAGGCUGUCAGGCCCACGAUGGUCCCUGGGGGGCUCUCUGGCCCUAGCCUCCUGGAAUGGUCUUGGACCCGGAUGUGAGCUCCUGAUAAUCUGACUUGGUCAGGCUGCCAGGUGAUGUGUUCCUGCAGCAUGGUUCUGGCCAGGCAGAGAACUGGGCCUUCCAGGCAGAAGGAACUGGGCAGAGCCUGGAGGUGUCCUUCGGAUCAGAGGGCAGGUGAUGGACUGUUCCCUGUUGUUGCCCAGCCCGGUCUACCUACAAUAAGGUAACUUCUCCUUGGAUGCUAUGUGAAUGCCCUGAUCCCCAACAAAUUUUGAUCCAGUGGUAUUGGCAUUUGCGGAUGCUGCUUGCCUGAACCAAUUAUCACUGAGGUGGUUUAACUGGUGUACAAGGUGCUUUGGGUUGGGGGAAGACCUUCAUCCUAAUCAUUCCUCAAGGUCCUUCCAGGAGCCAAAGAACAGAAACUCCCCCCAAGCCUGUUUGCCUUCUGGGCACGCCCUGCCAGCUGGGAAUCCCCUCCCCUAGUGAGGUGUUUGAUCCUUGGGAGAGACUGAGAGGAUGGAGAAACCAUUAGUUUCAUUUGCUAGAAGAGGCAGCUGAGGCCCAGGGAGAGGAGAGAAGUGGCCAGUAGUGGAAUAGCUCCUCCCGAGGAGUCUCUGGGCUCCAUGGACGAGGGUGGGCGUUUGGGAAGGAGACUUUCAGGCAGAAUAGUGGGCAGGGUUUCUGGGUCCAGGUUGGGGCUCUCUGACCCCUUGA